ensembl:lncRNA FLJ40194 uncharacterized FLJ40194
ACAUCAAAGGGGCGGGCCGCCCGAGGCCACGCCUCCCUCCUGCCCCGGAGGCUCCGGGAGCGCCAGCUAAGAUGAGAAACAGGAGGAACAGGAUGUAUGUAACUUGCCCAAGGUCACAGAGCCAAGAGGUGGCUGAAGCCAGACUUGAACCCAGGCAUUCAGCUAAGAAACUGCAUUCUUAAGCAAAACAUCACAAGACCUGCUCUAGAGAAAGUGUUCCUGCCUCCUGCUAGGCAAGGUGAUGCCCUAGGGGAAAGGAAGGAGGAGAAAGGGGAAGUGCUGCAAUGAACCUCAGAGGCUGGAUCUUGCUGACUCAUCUGGGGUACCAAGGACAGACAAAGGACAUGGAGUCCAGGCCCAGGAGGCGAUACCAGGCCAGCAGUUUCACUGAUGCUCCUGUCAUGACGAUGACUGCCUCCCUCCUCCCCUUGGUCCCUGACUCAGUGUCUGCAGUGACCAGGCACCAGGCAGGGAGCAAGGAACCAAGCCUUUCACCUGCUCCCACCAACUCCUAUGGUGCUCCCUUUCCAAGGCUAGGUCUCCUCUCCACCCAGUUCCUUAUCACGUACCAUGAGAAGCUGUCACCUUGGCAACUGUCACCUUCUGGUGAGAUUUACAAUUGCACUGCUACAACUGCUUGUGGCAUGGUAAAGUUGCACCAGGACCUCUGCUGUCCAUGAGAUCAAAGUUCCAGGCCAAGGUGAGCACCCGCCUCCAUCCUAGAGAGGAUUCUGUGAGAAUCAUUGAGAGGGAGCUACUCUCUCCAGGCAAUCACGGGGGUGAGAAAGAAAAAAAAAAAGAGAGGGAGUUACUCAUGUACUGACUUAUUCAAUGAAUGCUUAUGUUGUAAUACCUA